GGGCGGGACACGUGAAAUCCUGUCUGAACAUGGGGGGACCACCCUCCAAGCCUAAGUACUCCUCUACGACCGAUAGUGAACAAGUACCGUGAGGGAAAGGUGAAAAGCACCCCGACAAGGGGAGUGAAACAGAUCCUGAAAUCGGAAGCCUACAAGCAGUCGGAGCCCCCAAGCGGGGUGACGGCGUACCUUUUGUAUAAUGGGUCAGCGACUUCAUGUGUCGAGCAAGCUUAAGCCGUUAGGUGUAGGCGCAGCGAAAGCGAGUCUGAAUAGGGCGCUAAGUUCGACGUAUGACGACCCGAAACCAGGUGAUCUAUCCAUGAGCAGGAUGAAGGUUAGGUAACACUAACUGGAGGUCCGAACCCGUGAAUGUUGAAAAAUUCUGGGAUGACUUGUGGAUAGGGGUGAAAGGCCAAUCAAACCUGGACAUAGCUGGUUCUCCGCGAAAUCUAUUUAGGUAGAGCGUCCGACGAAUACCCUGGGGGGUAGAGCACUGGAUGGUUGCGGGCUGCGCGAGCGGUACCAAUACUAACCAAACUCCGAAUACCCAAGAGAACUAUCGGGCAGACACACGGCGGGUGCUAACGUCCGUCGUGAAAAGGGAAACAACCCUAACCAUCAUCUAAGGCCCCCAAAUCGUGGCUAAGUGGGAAACGAUGUGGGAUUGCUUUGACAAUCAGGAGGUUGGCUUAGAAGCAGCCAUCCUUUAAAGAAAGCGUAACAGCUCACUGAUCAAGCGAUCCUGCGCGGAAAAUGUAACGGGGCUAAAGCCAUGCGCCGAAGAUAUGGGUUUGCAGUUUACUGCAAGCGGUAGCGGAGCGUUCCGUAAGCCGGUGAAGGUCAACCGUGAGGUUGGCUGGAGGUAUCGGAAGUGAGAAUGCUGACAUGAGUAACGAUAAACAGUGUGAGAAACACUGUCGCCGAAAGACCAAGGGUUCCUGCGUAAAGCUAAUCUGCGCAGGGUUAGUCGGCCCCUAAGGCGAGGCUGAAAAGCGUAGUCGAUGGGAAGCAGGUAAAUAUUCCUGCACCAGCUGGAAGUGACGGAUGGCAUAACUUGUACAGGCUUAUUGGAUUGUCUGUGCAGGGGCGUUGUCCCUGGAAAUAACUCCAGCAGAGACCGUACCCGAAACCGACACAGGUGGUCAGGUAGAGCAUACCAAGGCGCUUGAGAGAACUGUGCUGAAGGAACUCGGCAAAUUGCACGCGUAACUUCGGAAUAAGCGUGACUCACCUUGCGCAAGCAGGACUGAGUGGCACAAGCCAGGGGGUAGCGACUGUUUAGCAAAAACACAGGGCUCUGCGAAGCAGCAAUGCGACGUAUAGGGUCUGACGCCUGCCCGGUGCCUGAAGGUUAAAGGGAGAUGUGAAAGCGUCGAACUGAAGCCCAGGUAAACGGCGGCCGUAACUAUAACGGUCCUAAGGUAGCGAAAUUCCUUGUCGGGUAAGUUCCGACCUGCACGAAUGGCGUAACGACUUCCCCACUGUCUCCAGUAUAGACUCAGCGAAAUUGAAUUCCCCGUGAAGAUGCGGGGUUCCUGCGGUCAGACGGAAAGACCCCGUGCACCUUUACUAUAGCUUUACACUGGCAUUCGUGUCGGCAUGUGUAGGAUAGGUGGUAGGCUUUGAAGCGGGGACGCCAGUUCUCGUGGAGCCAUCCUUGAAAUACCACCCUUAUCGUCGUGGAUGUCUAACCGCGGUCCGUUAUCCGGAUCCGGGACAGUGUAUGGUGGGUAGUUUGACUGGGGCGGUCGCCUCCGAAAGAGUAACGGAGGCGCGCGAUGGUGGGCUCAGACCGGUCGGAAAUCGGUCGUCGAGUGCAAUGGCAUAAGCCCGCCUGACUGCGAGACUGACAAGUCGAGCAGAGACGAAAGUCGGCCAUAGUGAUCCGGU
rnacentral:rRNA from 1 species